rnacentral:tRNA from 1 species
UGCCGGAUCAGAUAACGGUAGUCUGCGUGGCUCUGAACCACGUCGUCUAGGUUCGAAUCCUAGUCCGGCAG